GACGAACGCUGGCGGCGCGCCUAACACAUGCAAGUCGAACGAGCGAGAGGAGGUUUACUUUCUCAAGCGAGUGGCGAACGGGUGAGUAACGCGUGAGGAACCUGCCUCAAAGAGGGGGACAACAGUUGGAAACGACUGCUAAUACCGCAUAAGCCCACGACCCGGCAUCGGGUAGAGGGAAAAGGAGCAAUCCGCUUUGAGAUGGCCUCGCGUCCGAUUAGCUAGUUGGUGAGGUAAUGGCCCACCAAGGCGACGAUCGGUAGCCGGACUGAGAGGUUGAACGGCCACAGUGGGACUGAGACACGGCCCAGACUCCUACGGGAGGCAGCAGUGGGGAAUAUUGCACAAUGGGGGAAACCCUGAUGCAGCGACGCCGCGUGGAGGAAGAAGGUCUUCGGAUUGUAAACUCCUGUUGUGGAGGAAGAUAAUGACGGUACUCAACAAGGAAGUGACGGCUAACUACGUG
rnacentral:rRNA from 1 species